AGCGGCGGACGGGUGAGUAACGCGGGGGUAACCUGCCCUAUACACACGGAUAACAUACCGAAAGGUAUGCUAAUACGAGAUAAUAUAAGAGAUUCACAUGGAUUUCUUAUCAAAGCUGAGGCGGUAUAGGAUGGACCCGCGUCUGAUUAGCUAGUUGGUAAGGUAACGGCUUACCAAGGCGACGAUCAGUAGCCGACCUGAGAGGGUGAUCGGCCACAUUGGAACUGAGACACGGUCCAAACCCCUACGGGAGGCAGCAGUGGGGAAUAUUGCACAAUGGGCGAAAGCCUGAUGCAGCAACGCCGCGUGAGUGAUGAAGGCCUUCGGGUCGUAAAACUCUGUCCUCAAGGAAGAUAAUGACGGUACUUGAGGAGGAAGCCCCGGCUAACUACGUGCCAGCAGCCGCGGUAAUACGUAGGGGGCUAGCGUUAUCCGGAUUUACUGGGCGUAAAGGGUGCGUAGGUGGUCUCUUAAGUCAGAGGUGAAAGGCUACGGCUCAACCGUAGCAAGCCUUUGAAACUGGGAAACUUGAGUGCAGGAGAGGAGAGUGGAAUUCCUAGUGUAGCGGUGAAAUGCGUAGGUAUUAGGAGGAACACCAGUUGCGAAGGCGGCUCUCUGGACUGUAACUGACACUGAGGCACGAAAGCGUGGGGAGCAAACAGGAUUAGAUACCCUGGUAGUCCACGCCGUAAACGAUGAGUACUAGCUGU
rnacentral:rRNA from 1 species